AUUGAACGCUGGCGGCAGGCCUAACACAUGCAAGUCGAGCGGAUGAAUGGGGCUUGCUCCUGGAUUCCGCGGCGGACGGCUGAGUAAUGCCUCGGACUCUGCCUGGUAGUGGGGGAUAACGUCCGGUAAUGGGCGCUAAUACCGCUUACGUCCAGAGGUAGAACCUGGGGGAUCUUCAGGCCUCGCGAUAUAGGAUGAGCGUGGGACGGAUUAGCUAGUCGGUGGGGUAAAGGCCUACCAAGGCGACGAUCCGUAACUGGGAUGAGAGGAUGAUCAGCCACACUGGGACUGAGACACGGUGGAGAAUACUACGGGAGGCAGGAGUGGGGAAUAUUGGACAAUGGGCGCAAGGAUGAAGGAGCCAUGACGGGUGAGUGAUGAAGGUUUUAGGGUUGUAAAGUAAUUUUGUCCGGGACGAUAAUGACGGUACCGGAAGAAUAAGCACCGGCUAACUUCGUG
rnacentral:rRNA from 1 species